rnacentral:rRNA from 1 species
AACGAACGCUGGCGGCAUGCCUAACACAUGCAAGUCGAACGAGACCUUCGGGUCUAGUGGCGCACGGGUGCGUAACGCGUGGGAACCUGCCCUUAGGUUCGGAAUAACUCCCCGAAAGGGGUGCUAAUACCGGAUAAUGUCUUCGGACCAAAGAUUUAUCGCCUUUGGAUGGGCCCGCGUUGGAUUAGCUAGUUGGUAGGGUAAAAGCCUACCAAGGCGACGAUCCAUAGCUGGUCUGAGAGGAUGAUCAGCCACACUGGGACUGAGACACGGCCCAGACCCCUAGGGGGGGCAGCAGGGGGGAAUGUGGGACAGGGGGCGAAAGCCUGAUCCAGCAAUGCCGGGGGGGUGAGGAAGGCUUUAGGGUUUAAAAGCUCUUUUACCCGGGAUGAUAAUGACAGUCCCGGGGAAAUAAGCCCCGGCAAACUCCGU